AUUGAACGCUGGCGGCAGGCCUAACACAUGCAAGUCGAACGAGUGGCGGACGGGUGAGUAAUGUCUGGGAAACUGCCUGAUGGAGGGGGAUAACUACUGGAAACGGUAGCUAAAACCGCAUACCAUCAGAUGUGCCCAGAUGGGAUUAGCUAGUUGGUGGGGUAACGGCUCACAAAGGCGACGAUCCCUAGCUGGUCUGAGAGGAUGACCAGCCACACGGGAACUGAGAAACGGUCCAGACUCCUACGGAGGGCAGCCGUGGGGAAUAUUGCACAAUGGGCGCAAGCCUGCUGCAGCCAGGCCGCGUGUAUGAAGAGGGCCUUCGGGUUGUAAAGUACUUUCAGCGGGGAGGCGUUACCCGCCGAGGAAGCACCGGCUAACUACGUGCCAGCAGCCGCGGUAAUUC
rnacentral:rRNA from 1 species